rnacentral:rRNA from 1 species
UUUUGGACAAUGGGCGCAAGCCUGAUCCAGCCAUUCCGCGUGAGUGAAGAAGGCCUUCGGGUUGUAAAGCUCUUUCGCAAGGGAAGAAAGAUUACUCUCUAACAUAGGGUGAUUAUGACGGUACCUUGAUAAGAAGCACCGGCUAACUACGUGCCAGCAGCCGCGGUAAUACGUAGGGUGCGAGCGUUAAUCGGAAUUACUGGGCGUAAAGCGUGCGCAGGCUGUUUUGUAAGUCAGAUGUGAAAUCCCCGAGCUCAACUUGGGAACUGCGUUUGAAACUACAAGACUAGAAUAUGUCAGAGGGGGGUAGAAUUCCACGUGUAGCAGUGAAAUGCGUAGAGAUGUGGAGGAAUAUCAAUGGCGAAGGCAGCCCCCUGGGAUAAUAUUGACGCUCAUGCACGAA